CAAGUCGAACGGCAGCGCGGGGCAACCUGGCGGCGAGUGGCGAACGGGUGAGUAAUAUAUUGGAACGUACCCUGGAGUGGGGGAUAACGUAGCGAAAGUUACGCUAAUACCGCAUACGAUCUAAGGAUGAAAGCAGGGGACCGCAAGGCCUUGUGCUCCUGGAGCGGCCGAUAUCUGAUUAGCUAGUUGGUGGGGUAAAGGCCUACCAAGGCAUCGAUCAGUAGCUGGUCUGAGAGGACGACCAGCCACACUGGAACUGAGACACGGUCCAGACUCCUACGGGAGGCAGCAGUGGGGAAUUUUGGACAAUGGGCGAAAGCCUGAUCCAGCAAUGCCGCGUGAGUGAAGAAGGCCUUCGGGUUGUAAAGCUCUUUUGUCAGGGAAGAAACGGUGUGGGCUAAUAUCCUGCACUAAUGACGGUACCUGAAGAAUAAGCACCGGCUAACUACGUGCCAGCAGCCGCGGUAAUACGUAGGGUGCAAGCGUUAAUCGGAAUUACUGGGCGUAAAGCGUGCGCAGGCGGUUUUGUAAGUCUGUCGUGAAAUCCCCGGGCUCAACCUGGGAAUUGCGAUGGAGACUGCAAGGCUAGAAUCUGGCAGAGGGGGGUAGAAUUCCACGUGUAGCAGUGAAAUGCGUAGAGAUGUGGAGGAACACCGAUGGCGAAGGCAGCCCCCUGGGUCAAGAUUGACGCUCAUGCACGAAAGCGUGGGGAGCAAACAGGAUUAGAUACCCUGGUAGUCCACGCCCUAAACGAUGUCUACUAGUUGUCGGGUUUU
rnacentral:rRNA from 1 species